ACAUGUGGCCCACCUCCUCAAGUACUCCAUGGAAAAGUGGAAGGAUCAGAUUACCGUUGGGGGUCCAGUAUACAUUUAAAUUGUGCAGAGGGCUAUCAGUUAUCCAAUGCAGCUAUUCUUUCAUGUGAAGGACGAGGUGUAUGGAGGGGAGAUGUCCCACAGUGUCUCCAUCCAGCCCAUAACACUUGCACAGAUCCUGGUACACCACCUUAUGGAAUACAGAACAAUUCUAGGGGUUAUGAGGUUAUAAGCACAGUCUUUUUCAGAUGUAGGAAGGGUUAUCAUAUUCAAGGCUCUACUACUCGAUCUUGUCUUGCAAACUUAACUUGGAGUGGUUUACAGUCUGAAUGCAUUCAAAACAUUUGUACUCUUCAUAAUUAUCUUGCAAAUUUAAUGAGAGAUAUUACAUCUCUUUUCGGCAACAAGCUUGUCGUAUUCGGGGGUCAUAUUUGAAGUGGAUAUUUUCAUAAUGUCUCCAAAUGGUCGUCAGUCAGAGAAGAACAGAGAAGUCCCACAGGCUGCUUUCUCUGUGCUUAUUUCGGUAAACUGCCGAACAUUGAAGUUCAGUAACCUCCAACUGCAAAUCUUGUAGCACUUCCUCUGGAUCCACAGAAAAGGGAAUCUUCAAUCAGCUUCAUCUUUAGACAAAGUAAGUCUUCUGUCAAAUUCUUCAAUCAAAAGAAUGAUGUGCUUUGCGUAUUUUUCUCCUAACUCGGCGUGUUUGUGCUGAGGGAUACGCUGUGCACAAGUGGGAAAGUGACACAUUUCACCUUUUGACAGCUGACUUCUGAAAAGUUUCAAUUUCAUUUCGAAAGCUUUCACUGCUGCACACAUUUGAAAUAUAAGUUGAUUUUUUCCCCUGAAGUUGAAUGUUGAGAUCAUUCAGGUGUGCUGUAAUGUCACAAAAGAAAAAGAGAUCUUGAUUCCAGGACUCAUUUUCAAGCUCCGGGAAUUUUAUUGGCCCAUUUUCUAGGAAUUUUGCUAUCUCCUCUUUCAAAGCAACGAAACGCUGGAGCACUCUUCCUCGACUCAACCACCUCGCUUCCGUAUGGUAGAUUAAGUCGCUGCACUCGGCGUCUUCCCCUUCAAGAAAGGCUCGAAAUGUCCUAUGUUUUAGUCCUCUAGAACGGAUGAGGUUUACAAUGGAAACUACCACUGACAUUACAUGCUCAAAUUUUAAGACUUUGCUACACAAAACCUGCUGAUGUAUAAUGCAGUGAUGUUUGGUUAUUUGUCUCCCGAUAAAUCCUUCAAGAAGAGUAACUGCUCCAACAUUUUUUCCACACAUAGCUGGAGCACCAUCAGUACAAAUGGCCACCAAGUUUGUGAAAUCUACUCCCAACUUAUCAUUCAUGCACUUUAUCACUUCACUGGAGAUUUCUUUUCCAGUUGUGCGACAUGCCAACAAGUUCUUCAGUAAUUUCAAAGUUUUUAUCAAUACCUCUAAUAAAAAUAAGAAGUUGG